rnacentral:tRNA from 1 species
GCCGAGGUGGCUGAGUGGAAAGGCGCAGGCCUGGAAUUUACAGGGCCAAACUGAUAGCCUGUGUUCCGAAAGGGACUCAAGGGUUCAAAUCCCUUCCUCGGCG